GGAGGUAAAAGUCGUAACAAGGUUUCCGUAGGUGAACCUGUGGAAGGGCCAUUCACAAUUGUGUAUUUACGGUGCUUUAAAAUCCAUAUCCACCUUGUGUGCAACGUUCUGAAAAGCAAUUGCGAAUUAACUUAAUUCAAAAUAAAUACAACUUUCAACAACGGACCUCUUGGCUCUC
rnacentral:misc_RNA from 1 species